rnacentral:rRNA from 1 species
GCAGUCGCCGCGGUAAAACGGAGGAUCCAAGCGUUAUCCGGAAUCAUUGGGUUUAAAGGGUCCGUAGGCGGUCUUGUAAGUCAGUGGUGAAAGCCCAUCGCUCAACGGUGGAACGGCCAUUGAUACUGCAGGACUUGAAUUAUUGGGAAGUAACUAGAAUAUGUAGUGUAGCGGUGAAAUGCUUAGAGAUUACAUGGAAUACCAAUUGCGAAGGCAGGUUACUACCAAUUGAUUGACGCUGAUGGACGAAAGCGUGGGUAGCGAACAGGAUUAGAUACCCGCGUAGUCCCUGUCUCUUAUAC